rnacentral:SRP_RNA from 1 species
GCUGGGCAUGGUGGUGUGUGCCUGUAGUCCCAGCUACUUGGGAGGCUGAGGCAGGAGAAUCGCUUGAACCCAGGAGGCAUAGGUUGCAGUGAGCUGAGAUCGCGCCACUGCACUCCAGCCUGGGUGACAGCGAGACUCUGUCUCAA